rnacentral:misc_RNA from 1 species
CAGAGUUCUCGCCCUCGCGGGUAGAUCUCCCACCCACUGUUAUUGCUACUGUGUUGCUUUGGCGGGCUGCUAGGCCCAGCCUGGCCGCCGGCUCCGGCUGGCGCGCGCCCGCCAGAGGACCACAACUCUUGUUUUUAGUGAUGUCUGAGUACUAUAUAAUAGUUA